AUGUACUAAAUAGAAAGGGAUAAAGAGUUGGCUUACAAUUGCCACUUCACACAAUACAUAAAUAAUCCAUACAUCAUCCAAAGUACAAUCAAAGGUCCGACUACGGAACCAAAAUAAAGAAAGACAACCCCAAAUGCUAGAUCCCCGAUCAUCCCAACUGGGCUCUACUACUGAUCAACCAAAAAAGACACAAAACAACGAUCAAGAUUUUCAUCGAACUCCCACUUGAUCUCGGUGGCAUCGCUUGCACUGAUAUCAUCGGCACCUGCAACUCUUUGGAAGUAUCCGUGAGUCACGAGGACUCAGCAAUCUCACAUCCGGGAGAUCAAGACUAUUUAAGCUUAUGGAUAGGAGAAGGUAGUGAGGUGGAGCUGCAGCAAGCACUAAGCAUAUAUGGUGGCUAACAUACGCAAAUAAGAGCGAGAAGAGAAGCAACGCAACGGUCGUGAAUCUAGAAGUUAUCAAGAAGUGAUCCUGAAACUAUUUACGCACAAUCAUAACACAAGAACUGUGUUCACUUCCCGGACUCCGCCGAAAAGAGACCAUCACGGCUACACACACGGUUGAUGCAUCUAUUAUAUAAUUAAGACAAAAGGAAAACAAGCCAUCACAUUAAUCCACAUAGAUUACAUUAUCUCCACCAUUAAUUUUUUAAGGUAGCGGCUGAGAUUUAAAGAUAUUAAAAGUUACAUACAACUAUUGUAGGUACUAAUAAUUUGUUUGUCACGCACCACUGACACGCCUGUCAUCCUGAACAUGCCAGCCUUUUUAAUGUGUCCGAGACAACCACAAAUACCCGCCACACAAAAGGUAUAGGUGUACGAUAUAGUAGUUGUCAAAGAAGAGUAUACUAUAUGAAAUCUACUAUUCAUAGUUCCAAAUCUACACACGGACUCAAGCAAAGAACUCCACACGUGGUUGGAAUUCCAAAUCUAUACACACGGACUCAACCAAAGAACUCCACUCGGGGUCGGCUAACACGGACAAAAAGAGACACCUAGCUGGCCACGUCCAGCAACGCCCAAGAAGCCAAAACUUUUUUCCAUGUACUACAACACAAGUGAGAUCGGGCAUGAUCCAUAUCAUGCUCCACGUGAGUCUAAACACCAUGACAAAGUGUGAUGGAUGCAAAAAGGGCGUGAUUAGACGGCAUCCAAGAGCAUGGCAAACACCACACCAAAGUGCAAUGGAUGCAAUUAGGGUAGGAUUGGACUAUGUUGGAGGAGUGCAUCAUGAUGGACAAAGUACAUCCAGAAGUUCGCUACAUAGAUAUAGGGCUGCUUUUUGCCAGAGAUCCAGGAAGCAAAAUCUGCCCGACAAGCAGACCACCUACAAUAUAGAAAUCUGCCGAUGCCGUGAUGAAACAAACAAUGUGACGCAAAUCAGCCAAAACUGUGACAGAACAUGUCUGAACGCCAGCCAAACCUUCUGAGUUGCCGCCACGAUGAAACAAACGAUGCAACGCAAAUUAGCCAAAAUUAUGAUAGAUGUCACGACGCCAGCCGAACCUUCAGAGUUGCUGCCUCUCCUGAAUAAUCAAGGUUCGUAAAUAUUAUUUAGUGAAUUCACUUACUGAGGAUAAAAUCUAUGAGAUAUUAUCAAUUGACAAACCAUUUUCAAAUGGUUUUGCAGCCAAAGCACCAUGUCGCGUAAGAGUCUUAGUGCCUUAACAAUGAUAGGAGAAACGACACUCAAGUGAAAGUGACGAGAAUAUAUAUUCAAUCAAUCCGCCGACCGAUGAGCAUAUGAGCUUCCAUGGAUGAAAAUAUUUAUAUAUUUACUCCAUCCUUUUCUAAGUAUAAUCCUUUUAUAUAUUUCAAUACGGACUACGUACGGAUGUAUAUAGACAUAUUUUGGAGUGUAGAUUCACUCCUUUUGCUCCGUAUGUAGAACAUAUUAGAAUCUCUAGAAGGUAUUAUAUUUAGGAACAGAGGGAGUAUAUAUUUACAUGCUGAUUGUUCUAUUGUUUUGAACCACAAGUGCUAAUAUAUUGUAAUUGUUUGACAGGGCCAAGCUAUGCAUUUUACUGUCACCACUAAAAUAUCACGAUACUAUAAAUGUGGAGGAGGUUGAUACACAAUUGUUUAUCAAAGAUAAAAGAGAAUUAUGUUUAUGCACUUACCAUUUUAAAGUUGUGAAAGCAACAAAGUAUCACCAGUGGACCAAUGAAAUACAAAGGUAAGGAUCAUCAGAAUGUUUUCCUGAUUACUACUUCGAGUUUGCUUCCAAGGAAACUGUACAAGAACAUGCCGGGAAAGAUAAGCAAUGCUUAGGUUUACCUAUACUAUAUAGUUCCAAAUAAGACUCAACUAACUAAUCUUUCUAGAUAUGGAGUAAUUAAUCACCAGUUUUACACAUGCCGUUUUGGACUACUCGCCCAAAUGAAGCAUGUGGAAUCAAGACGAUAGGUCUGCACAGAAAAUAGAAGAAUAAAAAUAAAAAUGCUGAUUUGGCAUAUUGGUGAUGUGGAAGGCUGCAUGUUGAGAGAAUUGGGUGUAUGGGAGAUGAACUAUUUAGGUAUAUACGCUGACAGAGUAAGUGUAUAAUAACAAAGACUUUAAUUUUACUUCCAUCAUUGCAUUAACAUUAACUUUUCCAUCUUAAACUCUUCAUGAGUGAUAAAAUCAGAGUUACACUAUGGGGAAAUUCUACUUAUCUUUUGAAUGAGGAUGUACUCGAUAGCCAAACUAUCCUUAUUGUGACAUCAACAAUGGUGGAGUUUAGCAGUAAAUCCAAUAAAGUCACAACAUCUUCUGUUACUUUUAAAAAAAAUCAUGGUUAAAUAGGAUAGUGCCCAAAGUCAACCACUGCUGCAAGUAUAUACAGAUCUAGAUAUAUCUGCAACUCACAAACUUCUUGGCAGGUAUGGAACACUAUCUUUUAUAAUUUAUGAACUAAUGAAGCAUGACUCAUUUUUAUUAACCAAUGUAAAAUAAUAGUUAUACUUGACUUACUCCAUAUAUGGAGACACUCACCAGAAGAAACAUCGCCAAAAAUGACCGAGAUAGAUAGAGAAGUAUGCAAGGUACACCAGAAGAACAAAUGUUUUACCGAACUUACUGGAAUGGCGCAUGGUAACUAAGCAAAUUAGGUAAGGCAUCAGACUUCUUCUAAGAUAUGAUAUCACCACUUUUCGAGAACAACAAGACUCUAAGACCUGUAGGAACAAUUGAGUUAUAUCAGUUAUAACCUUAUGGAGCGAGUAAUGUGUCUGAACUUCUUUAGAUUGCUAACUUUAAUUUUUUGCGUAACUUAUUCAGGAUUUUGCGUCCAUGCCAAUAUCUACAAUAGAUAUGUUACAAAAAUAUAUUUGAUGUUGGUAUAUGUCAUGUGGUGAUAGUUUUCUGCACAAAAUAUAAUUGUAUGGUAGGCAUAGUAUUCAACUCCAAAUUAGUGGUUGUACAACUACUACAAGCUGCAAUUUCUUUAAUGAGGGUGAUAAAAGAAUCUUAAUACAUUUGUCUUGAACUUGAUGAACUCAUUGGAUGGGAAAUCUGAUGAAGCGCGUAAGAUUAUAUGUUAAUUAUGUUGAAAGUAAGUAGUAAGACAUACUAUUUGUAUUUACUGAUAUACAGUACGAAUACCUGGCAUCCAUUAAUAUAAGGAAGACUUAUUAGAUAACAGUGGUAUAUUUAUUUAUUUAUUUUCGAAAGCGGAGGCCAAAAGGCCUCAAUCAAUUAAUCAAGCAGAAGAGAAUUGCCAAGUUAAUCAGCAGAAAACUGGGCCAAAACUGUGAUAAGAGCAGUAACAUAAGCACUAUAAACGCAUGCCACAUUGUAAUUAUUUAAAUACAUUGGGACAUGCACUUUCAUGAGUUUUAUGUUCCUGGUAACAGUUCACCUCUCCCACGGUUUUUUUAGGUCAACGGAACCAUGAGGAAAGCUAGCUCCAACAUUAUAGCUUGGACCCAUAUUUCAGUUAGUACGUGUAAGCCGUCUUGCUUGGACUUAAUACACAUAUAAGUAAUAUAACUUGCUAAUAUAUGGUAACAAGAAAUAAAAAUACCUGUAGACAAUCAGCCGCUAUGGAGGAAGUAGGAAUGAUUGAAAUCUGUAGCACCUUACAUAGCUGGAAGCCGACAACACCAACAAUGAGGAAGCCCAUAGCUCGCCUCCACCUGCAGACUCC
rnacentral:lncRNA from 1 species